rnacentral:lncRNA from 1 species
UGGGUGAGGUGGGCUCCAUCUCUAUACUUCAUAACAACAAGACGUGAAUCUAAAUAAAUAGGGUUAAUACUGACAUGGUUUAUUGUAAAUAUCAUUGACUAGAUACUUGUAUGUUUAUAUUGAUCACUCUAUUUUCUGACUGUAGACGUUUCGAUUAAUAGACAUUUCGCCUAGAUUUCCAUUUAUCCCAAACCUACAAACUUCCCGUCAAGUUCAACACUUGUCCAAACAAAACGUUAAUAGAUUUGUAAUUAACUCAAAGCUUCCACUUUCGUUUACA